rnacentral:snoRNA from 13 species
CUGGAGACUAAGAAAACAGAGUCCUUGAAGUCAAGCUGACUCUGCCUUUAGCCUCCUAAAUGAAAAGGUAGAUAGAACAGGUCUUGUUGGCAAAGUGAUUUCAAGACCUACUUAUCUACCAACAGCC